AGACCCGAAACCCGGUGAUCUAGCCAUGGGCAGGUUGAAGGUUGGGUAACACUAACUGGAGGACCGAACCGACUAAUGUUGAAAAAUUAGCGGAUGACCUGUGGCUGGGGGUGAAAGGCCAAUCAAACCGGGAGAUAGCUGGUUCUCCCCGAAAGCUAUUUAGGUAGCGCCUCGUGAAUUCAUCUCCGGGGGUAGAGCACUGUUUCGGCUAGGGGGCCAUCCCGGCUUACCAACCCGAUGCAAACUGCGAAUACCGGAGAAUGUUAUCACGGGAGACACACGGCGGGUGCUAACGUCCGUCGUGAAGAGGGAAACAACCCAGACCGCCAGCUAAGGUCCCAAAGUCAUGGUUAAGUGGGAAACGAUGUGGGAAGGCCCAGACAGCCAGGAUGUUGGCUUAGAAGCAGCCAUCAUUUAAAGAAAGCGUAAUAGCUCACUGGUCGAGUCGGCCUGCGCGGAAGAUGUAACGGGGCUAAACCAUGCACCGAAGCUGCGGCAGCGACACUGUGUGUUGUUGGGUAGGGGAGCGUUCUGUAAGCCUGUGAAGGUGUGUCGUGAGGCAUGCUGGAGGUAUCAGAAGUGCGAAUGCUGACAUAAGUAACGAUAAAGCGGGUGAAAAGCCCGCUCGCCGGAAGACCAAGGGUUCCUGUCCAACGUUAAUCGGGGCAGGGUGAGUCGACCCCUAAGGCGAGGCCGAAAGGCGUAGUCGAUGGGAAACGGGUUAAUAUUCCCGUACUUGGUGUUACUGCGAAGGGGGGACGGAGAAGGCUAUGUUGGCCGGGCGACGGUUGUCCCGGUUUAAGCGUGUAGGCUGGUUUUCCAGGCAAAUCCGGAAAAUCAAGGCUGAGGCGUGACGACGAGGCACUACGGUGCUGAAGCAACAAAUGCCCUGCUUCCAGGAAAAGCCUCUAAGCAUCAGGUAACAUCAAAUCGUACCCCAAACCGACACAGGUGGUCAGGUAGAGAAUACCAAGGCGCUUGAGAGAACUCGGGUGAAGGAACUAGGCAAAAUGGUGCCGUAACUUCGGGAGAAGGCACGCUGACACGUAGGUGAAGUGAUUUACUCA
rnacentral:rRNA from 1 species